GAUGAACGCUGGCGGCGUGCUUAACACAUGCAAGUCGAACGAGAAUCAGUGGAUUGAGGAUUCGUCCAAAUGAAACUGAGGAAAGUGGCGGACGGGUGAGUAACGCGUGAGCAAUCUGCCUUGGAGUGGGGAAUAACGGCUGGAAACAGCCGCUAAUACCGCAUGAUACAGUUGGGAGGCAUCUCUCUGACUGUCAAAGAUUUAUCGCUCUGAGAUGAGCUCGCGUCUGAUUAGCUGGUUGGCGGGGUAACGGCCCACCAAGGCGACGAUCAGUAGCCGGACUGAGAGGUUGGCCGGCCACAUUGGGACUGAGACACGGCCCAG
rnacentral:rRNA from 1 species